GCCUUCUUAGUUCAGUGGUUAGAAUUUUUCACUAGUAUGGUGGUCUCUUGAGACAACAUCUAUGAUGAAAGGGUCACCCGUUCAAUUCGGGUAGAAGGCA